rnacentral:rRNA from 1 species
CCUACGGGAGGCAGCAGUGGGGAAUAUUGCACAAUGGGCGAAAGCCUGAUGCAGCGACGCCGCGUGAGCGAAGAAGGCCUUCGGGUCGUAAAGCUCUGUCCUAUGGGAAGAAAGAUGACGGUACCAUAGGAGGAAGCCCUGGCUAACUACGUGCCAGCAGCCGCGGUAAUACGUAGUGGGCGAGCGUUGUCCGGGAGGACUGGGCGUAAAGGAUACGUAGGCGGGUUGAUAAGUGAGAUGUGAAAGGCAUAGGGUUAACCUGUGUAAGCAUUUUAAACUGUCUAGCUGGUGUGAAGGAUAGAAAGGUGGAAGUUCUGGUGUGGCGGUGAAAUGCGUAGAUAUCAGGAGGUAUUCCUGUGGCGAAGGCUGCUUUCUGUACUUAUACUGCCUUUGGGGUACCAAAGCGUUGGGAGCAAACAGCAUUAGCUACCCUAGUAGUU